UGGGCUACAGUUUAAAGUCAUCCUAGAAAUACACUGCCUGGAUGGAGCAGGAGGAGCAGCUCUUUCCUCAUGCUUAAUUUCAGUAUGUGGCCACCUGGGCAGUGCUCUAGGACAUAUCCAGUAGUGUAGCUAUACAGUGGAAGGCUGGGGCACAGCACUGCUCUCAGCAGAAUAUCAGUGUUGAUAUUCUUCACUGAUAUUCAGCGUUGAUACGUCUUGGGGAGAAGGUGAAGUGUGAGACUGAUUUGUGAAUUUUGUGAGAUUUUAGACUCCUCUCUAUGCACCUAGGACUAGGGGAAAUGUUCUUUGUGCAUAAAUCUAAAUAAAUCAAAGUUGCAGUGUUCUUUCACGGGGAAGGUUGGGAGGUUGCCCCAGCAGUGGGUGCUGCCUUGUAGGAGAGCCACAGUUUGUCGCUGAGCUGCAAGCAUGUUGGUUUUCAUCUGUCAAGACCCUGGAGCAGAGGAGAGGGGUCAGGGUGACUUUCUAGCUAGGGACAGCAUUGGUGUGGCCAGCCCAUGUCCCAGGUGGGAUGCAGAGGGGCAUGUUGAUGAGUCUGACCUGAAAUAUCUCCAGGGAAGUACUGGAUUUCUGCAUUCUCCUUUUCCUGAGCCUCCCCUUGGUUUAGCUCAGUUUACGUCAGUUUGAGUUAAGGGUAUAUCCUUGAGGAGAGGCUGGAGCAGCCAGAGUACCCCUCACCGGGCACAGGGCUGGCCAGUGGGCUCCUGUCCCAGAAGAGUGAGAGUCUGCACUGCCUCACGUGGAGAGCAGCUUCCUACCUGCACUAGGGCUGGGCGUGGAUCAAGCUGGGUGAGAACAAGGAGGCCAUAACGCAGUUCAGCAGGUGAUGAAGUCCCCCAAGAACCCAGCAGGCAGCAAUGGUUGGUGUGGGCAGAGUGUAGAUUGGUGUGGGGGCUGAUAUGACAGCUUGCAGCUGACUUCCCAGCCCAGGAAUGGCACUGAAGUUCAUCUGUCCUCCCACCUGCAGGUGCCUCAGCGAGCUUUUGCGGUUCCCACUUUAUGGGCCUGGUGCUGAACUGACAGUGAUAGGGAAUCUCCUGCCAGAAGUGGAGGUUCUCCAGAAGAUCAGGUUGCUUUUUCUCACUGGGCGAGGUACGCAGUUCCUGGAGCUGGGGAAGCACAAGGAGGCCUUGCUGGAUUUCCUGUACGGCUUGCAGGUCUUGCCAGGCCCUUCCCUUUGUACCUCCUGUGAAGCAGGCAGCCUUCCUGCAGAGGGAAUCUCUUGCUAGAAGCAUACAGGAUUACCUCAGGAGCACGAGCCAGGAUCCCUUCAGCUAACCCAGCCAGUGUCCUCAUCACCACCUGCUGGAGUCUCUGUGCACCAGGAUGACAUCAGGCCUUUAAGGACUCCUCCAGGACUCAAAACUGCUCUUAGAUAAAGCUGGAUUUCCCAAAAGACGGAAACAGAACAGAUUCCCUUUUCUAAUAAACUGAAUAGAUCUGAGGCUUUUAUGCA
rnacentral:lncRNA from 1 species